AUGGGUGCACCCCAGUCCUAUGGAUGCCCCAUCCCUGCUCACAUGGGUGCCCACCCCCUCCCAUAUUCCCCCAUCGCCACCCAUUCCCGCCCCCUGGCCCCCACAUUCCCCGACCUCAGGUCGCCUCCACCCACAGCUGCUCUCAACAAGCACCCAAGCGUCGAGCCCAGGGGCACCCAUGGGUGCUGCCAUCCUAUAAUAACCCACUUUUUCCCCCCCUCCGUAGGCCGAGAAGGAGCGCAAGUACCACAUCUACCAGCUUUGCGCCUGUGCCCACCUCUCCCCCUUCCAAAGCCUGGCAUUGGAAGGUUCUGAGGGUUUCUUUUACACCUCCCAAGGAGGGGAGGCCGCCAUUGAUGGGGUGGAUGACGCCGAAGAGAUGGAAAAGACCCAGAAUGCCUUCAGCAUCUUGGGAGUUCCGGAAGCCCAGCAGGCCACCAUCUUCCGCCUCCUGGCCGCCAUCUUGCAUCUGGGCAACGUGGAAGUGAGGGCCGAACGGGAUGGUGACGCCAGCAGCAUUUCGGUAUGUCCUCUUCCUCUUCCCAUCUCACUUCCGCUUCUCCUUUUGCUUUCACUUUCACUUCCCCUUCCCACUUCCCCUU